rnacentral:rRNA from 1 species
UACGAAGGGGGCUAGCGUUGCUCGGAAUCACUGGGCGUAAAGGGUGCGUAGGCGGGUCUUUAAGUCAGGGGUGAAAUCCUGGAGCUCAACUCCAGAACUGCCUUUGAUACUGAAGAUCUUGAGUUCGGGAGAGGUGAGUGGAACUGCGAGUGUAGAGGUGAAAUUCGUAGAUAUUCGCAAGAACACCAGUGGCGAAGGCGGCUCACUGGACCGGUAUUGACGCUGAGGUGCGAAAGCGUGGGAGCAAACAGG